CACAAAGUACACAGAUGGGCAUUUGCAAUGUUAUGUUGAAAAUACUGCUCCAGAUCUCAAGUUUAGGAACAAAAGAUCCUGUUCUGGCACCUGAACAGCUGAGUAGGAGUUAUAGAGCCCAUAACAUGAGGAUUCCCCUGCUGCUCUUCUGUUCUGUUCAGACCCAGAGUACAACAUGAGAUCAAGAUGUGCCCAAAUGUCUGCGGCU
rnacentral:lncRNA from 1 species